rnacentral:rRNA from 1 species
GUAGUUAGCCGUGGCUUGUUUUCAGGGUACCGUCUUCGUCUCGUCCCCUGUCAAAGAAGUUUACAACCCGAAAGCCUUCUUCCUUCACGCGGCGUUGCUGGGUCAGGCUUGCGCCCAUUGCCCAAUAUUCCCCACUGCUGCCUCCCGUAGGAGUCUGGACCGUGUCUCAGUUCCAGUGUGGCCGAUCAGCCUCUCAGCUCGGCUACCCAUCGCAGGCUUGGUGGGCUGUUAUCUCACCAACUACCUAAUGGGACGCGAACCCCUCCUUCAGCGGAUUGCUCCUUUGACCUCAUCCCGAUGUCGGGUCGUGGUCUUAUGCGGUAUUAGCACUUGUUUCCAGGUGUUAUCCCCCUCUGAAGGUCAGGUUGUUCACGCGUUACUCACCCGUUCGCCACUAAAACUUAUCUUCCAUCCGAAAACUUCUGAUAAAUCUCCGUUCGACUUGCAUGUGUUAGGCACGCCGCCAGCGUUCGUCCUGAGCCAUGAUCAAACUCUGA